AUUGAACGCUGGCGGCAGGCCUAACACAUGCAAGUCGGACGGUAGCACAGAGAGCUUGCUCUUGGGUGACGAGUGGCGGACGGGUGAGUAAUGUCUGGGGAUCUGCCCGAUAGAGGGGGAUAACCACUGGAAACGGUGGCUAAUACCGCAUAACGUCGCAAGACCAAAGAGGGGGACCUUCGGGCCUCUCACUAUCGGAUGAACCCAGAUGGGAUUAGCUAGUAGGCGGGGUAAUGGCCCACCUAGGCGACGAUCCCUAGCUGGUCUGAGAGGAUGACCAGCCACACUGGAACUGAGACACGGUCCAGACUCCUACGGGAGGCAGCAGUGGGGAAUAUUGCACAAUGGGCGCAAGCCUGAUGCAGCCAUGCCGCGUGUAUGAAGAAGGCCUUCGGGUUGUAAAGUACUUUCAGCGGGGAGGAAGGCGACGCGGUUAAUAACCGCGUCGAUUGACGUUACCCGCAGAAGAAGCACCGGCUAACUCCGUGCCAGCAGCCGCCGCAG
rnacentral:rRNA from 1 species